rnacentral:rRNA from 1 species
UACGGAGGGUGCAAGCGUUAUCCGGAUUCACUGGGUUUAAAGGGUGCGUAGGCGGGCAGGUAAGUCCGUGGUGAAAUCUCUGAGCUUAACUCAGAAACUGCCAUGGAUACUAUUUGUCUUGAAUAUUGUGGAGGUAAGCGGAAUAUGUCAUGUAGCGGUGAAAUGCUUAGAUAUGACAUAGAACACCAAUUGCGAAGGCAGCUUACUACACAGUUAUUGACGCUGAGGCACGAAAGCGUGGGGAUCAAACAGGAUUAGAAACCCUA